rnacentral:rRNA from 1 species
GAUGAACGCUGGCGGCGUGCCUAAUACAUGCAAGUCGAACGAGAUCUUCGGAUCUAGUGGCGAACGGGUGAGUAACGCGUUGGUACCUACCCUGAAGUGGGGAAUAACUGGCCGAAAGGUCGGCUAAUACCGCAUAAUACCGCAAGGUUAAAGUCGUAAGACGCUUCGGGAGGGGCCUGCGUCCCAUUAGCUAGUUGGUGAGGUAACUGCUCACCAAGGCGACGAUGGGUAGCUGGAUCGAGAGGUUGACCAGCCACACUGGGACUGAGAUACGGCCCAGACUCCUACGGGAGGCAGCAGUAAGGAAUCUUCCACAAUGGGCGAAAGCCUGAUGGAGCAACGCCGCGUGCAGGAUGACGGUCUUCGGAUUGUAAACUGCUUUUAUAUGGGAAGAUUAUGACGGUACCAUAUGAAUAAGCACCGGCUAACUACGUGCCAGCCGCCGCCGUAA